rnacentral:lncRNA from 1 species
GGCAGAGGCAGAGGAGGGAGCUAGGAGGUGAGACCCGCUCCACCCUGCUCGCCUAGGCUCGGCGGAGGCUAAGAGCAGGGCAGCCUCCUCUGCCCGGCGCCCGCUGAGCCCCGGCAUCUGGAACUCAGGGCCCUGGCGCUCCAGGGGCGGGAACUGGCCGGGAGGACCGCGCGGGAGAGCACGGAUGGGCACCCUGGGCUCGAUCUUCUCACCUGGGGCGGGUGGGUUCUGCACCACCCUCCCACCCUCCUUCCUCCGUGUGGACGAUAGAGCCACAUCCAGCACCACGGACAGCUCCCGGGCGACCAAAAAGAAGAAUGUACUUCAUCUGGUUGGGCUGGAUUCCCUCUGAUAAGCCUUCCCAGUUGACUGAAAGAUGAGGCUAGGCUCUAGCAAGUUGAAGUCAAACCAGCUCCUUCAAGAAGCUUUGAGCAGAAUGAAGUGGGGAGGACCCAGCUUCCAGCCCAGGAAGCCCACUGUACCUGGAGCCAUCUGGGAUAAGACUUUGACCCAUGACUCCCAUAUCCACAGCCUGUCCAUCC